rnacentral:rRNA from 1 species
CAAGUGAGCGCGCCUCGGGUGAUCAGGCGGACGGGUUAGUAACGCGUAGGAUCCUUCUCUACGGAAUAGCCUCUGGACACGGAGAGUAAUACCGUAUACGCCCUUUGGGGGAAAGAUUAUCGGAGAAGGAUCGGUCCGCGUUAGAUUAAGUAGUUGGUGGGGUAACGGACUACCAAGCCUACGAUCUAUAGCUGGUAUUAGAGGAUGAUCAGCAACACUGGGACUGAGACACGGCCCAGACUCCUACGGGAGGCAGCAGUGGGGAAUCUUCGACCACUGGGGGCAACCCUGAUCUAGCCAUGCCGCGUAAUAAUCCCCAGACAGGCG